rnacentral:rRNA from 1 species
GUCACGCCCUGGUGGCGAGUGGCGAACGGGUGAGUAAUAUAUCGGAACGUACCCAAGAGUGGGGGAUAACGUAGCGAAAGUUACGCUAAUACCGCAUACGAUCUAAGGAUGAAAGCAGGGGACCGCAAGGCCUUGUGCUCCUGGAGCGGCCGAUAUCUGAUUAGCUAGUUGGUGAGGUAAAGGCUCACCAAGGCGACGAUCAGUAGCUGGUCUGAGAGGACGACCAGCCACACUGGAACUGAGACACGGUCCAGACUCCUACGGGAGGCAGCAGUGGGGAAUUUUGGACAAUGGGCGCAAGCCUGAUCCAGCAAUGCCGCGUGAGUGAAGAAGGCCUUCGGGUUGUAAAGCUCUUUUGUCAGGGAAGAAACGGUAGGGGCUAAUAUCCCCUGCUAAUGACGGUACCUGAAGAAUAAGCACCGGCUAACUACGUGCCAGCAGCCGCGGUAAUACGUAGGGUGCAAGCGUUAAUCGGAAUUACUGGGCGUAAAGCGUGCGCAGGCGGUUUUGUAAGUCUGUCGUGAAAGCCCCGGGCUCAACCUGGGAAUUGCGAUGGAGACUGCAAGGCUUGAAUCUGGCAGAGGGGGGUAGAAUUCCACGUGUAGCAGUGAAAUGCGUAGAGAUGUGGAGGAACACCGAUGGCGAAGGCAGCCCCCUGGGUCAAGAUUGACGCUCAUGCACGAAAGCGUGGGGAGCAAACAGGAUUAGAUACCCUGGUAGUCCACGCCCUAAACGAUGUCUACUAGUUGUCGGGUUUUAAUUAACUUGGUAACGCAGCUAACGCGUGAAGUAGACCGCCUGGGGAGUACGGUCGCAAGAUUAAAACUCAAAGGAAUUGACGGGGACCCGCACAAGCGGUGGAUGAUGUGGAUUAAUUCGAUGCAACGCGAAAAACCUUACCUACCCUUGACAUGUCAGGAAGGCCGGAGAGAUCUGGCUGUGCCCGAAAGGGAACCUGAACACAGGUGCUGCAUGGCUGUCGUCAGCUCGUGUCGUGAGAUGUUGGGUUAAGUCCCGGAA